AACGCAACUUGCGCCUUUUGGUACUCCGAGAGGCAUGCCUGUUUGAGUGUCGCAAAUAAAAUCAACCCUUUCAAUUCUGCCGAGUUGACAGGGGGUGGCCUUUGAGUGCAUGUUGGUUUCGACCAACUCGCUCGAAAUAUUUCACCGAGCCAGUCGACAGUUGGAGAGGUGCAUUGUAUUUAGCAUUGCAUUUCGAGAUUGUUCAGGCUUGAAAAAAGUAAGAGUCAAGACCUCAAGUCAGGCAGGGUUACCCGCUGAACUUAA
rnacentral:misc_RNA from 1 species